GCAAAGACCAUGUCAGCUCCUUUCAAAUAUAUGAGCAGGACAGCAUGUAACCAGCUCCAAUUUGAUAAGUAGUUAUCUGUGUUGUUGCUGAGUACAGUUAAAUGUCUGCUACCAAUUGUCCUACCAUUGGGACUUGCCCUCUUGGGCAAAAUCUAUUGAAAUUUGACCUCAAAUCAGGUAGGACUACCCGCUGAACUUAA
rnacentral:misc_RNA from 1 species